ensembl:lncRNA
GCUUGAUUCUCAAAAUGCAUUACCAGGAACAGCAGCCUCACCAUCAUCUUCCAGCUUACUAGAAAUGCUCAGGACGCUUCAGAACUAAAGAGAAGAGCCUGCAUUUUACCAAGCCCCUGAAGUGAGCUCAUGUGCACAUUAAAGUUCGAGAAGCCCUGCCAGAGGGAGCUGUUGUAGAUAAGACAUGACACAGUCAGGUGAGGGAGAGGAGAGGAAAAGAUGAGGCAGAAACUCCUGAAACCCUAGACAUAUUAGCCUUGAACUUGUGAUCCUCCUGCCUCAGCCUCCUGAGUACCUGAGAUUACAGGACACUGUGGGGUAGAGAUUCUUCUUCAGGUGGUCCAGCUGGAUGUAGCUGGAUCUAAGAUAGCUGCCAUCAUGACCACCAGACAACCUCCAACUUCAUUAUAAUUCCAUCUGCAUGCUAAAUAACACUCCCUCCAAUGCCAUGGUAGCUGUCAAUUGCCAACAGUUAUUGGCAAGUGUCCUAAAAGGAACAAAGAGGUGCCCAAUUUAGAAAAUGCCUGCCUAUUCCCAGAAAAUAGAUGAUUAUUCUUCCCCUUUAUUAGCCUAUCCCGCCCUGUUACUUCUUUUACCCUAUAUCUUUAACCUUCCAAUCUCCAGAGGGUUAAAUUGAUUUGCAAGUGUUAUCUUCCAUUGUUCGUCUUCUUAGCCAUGAACACGC